GCACUCAUAACCCGACCAGUUUCUCAGGCUGCGUCCAGGCAAUGACUAUCAGUUAUUGUCCAGGUGGCUGAGGAGUUCUGCAUGAUGAAAUACCUUUAUCCCAGUUUUGGUCUACCAUUACAGGAACACUGCAGCAUCCCAGCAAGCUUCUCAGAAACCUGAGCUAAAAUCCCAUGUCAAGGGGAAUACAGAAAAAGCCUAGCAAUUGUGAAACCUAAUUACAAAGUAAUGUGGAGCCUGAAAGCAGAACUGCUAAGCAGUUAGAGACUUGCCUAACAAUUAGGCCAUCUGUCAUCCGCAAGUGGGCUAACAAAAGGCUGCACGGGACACUUGUGGCACUGUACGGAGGAGGAUAUGCAAACGAGGAAGCGUCCAAAUACAGUUUUAAGAUACACGGUAUGAAAUGAGCUGCUAAUUGGGGCUCACAUGCAUGCUUAACAUAUGGACAACAUAAUUAUAGUUGUACAGUUAAGGGAAGUUUACUCUACAGGAAGAGAAUGGAACGGCGCAGGGUGCGAUGCGCUCCUUUGAAAUCAAUGGAAUGACAGAGCUAUCGAUCUGAAAUAUGUUAUUUCCACUUGCCCACCACGAAUCAAAAAAAAUGCUUAAACAUCAGUUCAUCCCGUCAAUUCCAGUAUUAGAAUUGUUCCCAAUGGGCACAGCAGACAAUGAAAGCCAAACAAGAGGAAGGAUUUGAUCCAGUUCCCCAUUAAAUUCAGAAGAAAGACUAAUAACUUCAGCGAUAAUCGGAGUUGGACUGGAACCUACAUGAAUGGCAUACCACGGAUCAUUUUAUUCCUGCCAAAGAUUGUUCAGACUGCAGCAAUUUCCAGCGGGAGCUAGAAUCUACGUCCCCCAAACAGUUCCACUCCAGCAAACAGUACGUGCAUUAAUUCCAGUAUUAUUUGGUUUUCCCCUGACUAAAAAAUGCACGGCAGGGUAGGACAAAAAGAGCAAAUGGGGUAUGUGCAAGCACCAGCCCAGCUGCUGCUGGACCACUGUUUGCCAGUUGCUUAGCAACACUUCACCUCUCUGCUGGAAAAAAAAAAAAAAAAAAAGUGUUCUGAUGAACAAAAAUAAACCAGAAGAUUUGUUUAUUGUGAAAUAAUGACUGUGAUAGUGCUCUAUUCACUUCUUCUAGUCAUGUACUAUAUCACCUACCAAAUGCUGGGAGCUCUCUGGGAUAAAGGUUGCAACUUUCAAUGCCUAGCUGUGGGAUAUCUCUAUGGGAUCUCUCUUACUGGAGGUACUUAAAUAAAAAAUGGCAAUAACAGAGCAGUGGUGUUUGCAUACUUAUUAAUCGGGAGGAAAACUGGAAUAGGAAUUCGAGGAUUUAAUUUUUGGGCAACCUCUUUUAGCUGCUCCCGCUUAAGCAAGGGUUGGUACAAGAUGAUCUCCUGAGGGCCCUUCCAAGCGCAACCACUGCAUGGUUCUGUAAUUUGGAGAGUAAAGAAAAGAACAGGGAGAAUAAAGAAGAAAAUAAAAACAGGUACCCCGGGAGUGAGCCAGUGAAGGAAAGAUGCCAACGCACAUUCAUGCCUCACUCACCAGUUAUCCAUUUAGCCUCUGGGUCAUGUAUUUUGAAAUCAGCACUAAAUAGAUCUUCCACUGUUAUCUUCUUCUUCUGAGACAAGCUGUUAUCUUCAACUGUGAAGCAUACAAAAACAAAUUGCCAUUACUUCUACUUUGAACUGUACCUGAAACUACAGCAACUCUGAGUAGUGCCAUAUCAUAUUUCAUUCCGGAAUGGUCCACAUUAAGUCAUCUGUCACUCAUAAGCUCCUUCACAUUGUCAAUAGUAGAAAAGGACAAUCUAAUAGUUCACAAAGAGAAACCUCCUGGUUAUUUAUGCCUAGAUUCAAAAACUACAAAAGGACCAAUGAUCCAAAACACACCUUUUUGACAGAAACUGAUGAAAAAAGAUAUAAAAAGGCAUGCAAACAGGCAGAUAUCAGAGCACUAUAGAAUUCUGACUACUCUCAGGAAUAUUAAAACUUUUCAACAUUCACUAUUCCAAAACCAUUUUUUUUUUUUUUUAGUAAAAUAAAAUUAAAUGUAAAUUGACCUACUUAGAACUGAUAUUUUUGUUUCCUUAAAAACUGUCAUGCAGAACAACACUUGCAAAUGUAUUUAGCCUUGUAAGGAUUUAGACAGAAUAUUUUUAAGAAUUCAUAAAACACCUAACUGAAGAGAUAUUUUUGAAAAAUCUAUGAGAAAUACCUCUAAAUCCUUUGGUGGUGCAUGUCUGCAUGAUACUAAUUUUCAUUUUUACUGAAAGUAUUUGGUUUCAUUUUCAAACACAAUAGUAACACAGAAAUGUGGUCAACUUUUAAAUUGAAGAACCAGACUGCCAAUUGAAGAUUCUGGAAGAUCCUCUUUAAUGAGCAGCACUGUUUGUUUAUUUCACUCUUCCUAGUUCUACUUUGUAGCAAAUUUAAUUUUCCAAAAAAGAAAACCUUGCUGUAUGCUUCCCCCCUGUCCUUCAUACAGGAAAAUAAAGUAUUGUGUAUAACAGCAAGAGCCCCUACCAACCUGCAGAGAACAAUUCCAUGGCAACUUCAAGACCAAAUGUGUGGUGUCAUUGCAAAAAAACAAACAACAAAACACUCUAGUACUGGAAAUUAGGAUAUGGGUUGCCAAAUUUCUUGAACAAUUAAUUAAAUAAAUCACAUCCAAUAGGGCUCUGAGAUACAGUAUGAGAGAGAAUUCACUAAGUCCUGCUUUCCUGAGCACCACUUCUGUGGUUAUCUUAGGCACUGCUGGAAAUUUUACCCCCACAGCAUACGGCGUAAUGUGCUUCCUCACCCCACUUCUAAAGUUUCAGCCAGUGACAGCAAAGAGAUUUUUGUCUUAUCACAAGGAAAUCUUUCUCAUCUAGGAUGCCACCAAGACUGAUCACAUAUGAGUAGAAUUAAGUAAAACUAAGGAACAAAUUUAAGAAGUUUGCCACAGGUAGCCUCUUCUUCUCUGCAAAAAUUGUGCCUUCUCAUUUCCACCAGCACCUCUCCACUGUGUAACAGUUCUCAUAAAAAUAAUGCAGAGGCACAUAAACUGAAAUGUUUAUGUUGAAUUGAUGGAUUAUUGAGCUUACAGAACAAUAAAAGUGCUUAGUAUGCUUAGUAUGAAAAU